AUGCUCGCCGCGCCAGGCACGUUCACAGGAACGCAGCCCCCAAGUCACCGGGUGGAUCCUUUACACGUCUGUGUCAACUCUCCAAGUGCGUCCCCGAGAUUCGGAGCGUCCCUUCCCUGGUCCCGGACCGCUGGGCCCGCCGCGGGCGUCCCUCUGAGGGGUCGCGGCAGCCGGCGCCAGCCAAACCCUGCUCCGCUCCCCCGGCCACUGCGCCGUCGUCUCCCCAAACUGCCCCGAAGCCUCGCUCCCGCCUGCCGCGGCAGUUGCGGCGUCGGGCUGGCUGGCGCCCCGCGACGAAAAGGCCAUCAAGUCUCGCUGCAUUUCUGCCACUUGCAGCGCCCGCGCCGCCGGGGUGGCUGCGCGCAGUUCCCGCGCUCGGGGCGCCCCGCAGGCCGUGGAGGGCGGCUGCUCCCCGGCCCGCGCAGCGGCGCGGGGCGGUUUCUCGGAAACUUUCCUCCCUCAUCAUCUCUCCUCUGGGUCGAGAAAGAAGCGGAAGCCCCUACUUCUCUCCAGUCAGACCCUCUACACCAAGCACCCUGCCAUAUUCCAGACCGGUGGGGGGAUCUGAGCGAAGGGGAGAACCUUUCCGAAUCUGCGGACCCUCCGGGGCAGCAGCCCGCUCCCACCCCCACCCUGGGCUCCAAUGAUCCGCAGCCCCGCGCAUUUCGAAAGGCUUCCCGGCUCGCCGGCGGCCAAGGAGGACCGCAGCGACGCGCAGGAGGGGCCGAGCGCCACAGCCGCUUGCGGGGUCGCUUCCUCCUUUACAGCCGUUUUGCAAAAUCCAGCUCCCCCCCACCCCCACCCCCCAUCGCAUCCCCAGCUGUCCAACGCGUCGGACUGGGGCAGGGAAGAAAUAGGAAAACGUGGGGCCAGGGGCAUGACUGGGGGACAGAAGGGACCGUGGAAAUCCACAGGAUGGGAGCGGGGCGCGCGGCCUUUCAGGCCCCGGUGCGCCCACCGCCCCGGCCGCGCCAGGCGACCUUUCCCGGCGGCCGGGAAAGGCCGUCUUCGCCAUUUCAUCUUCAUCAUUGUGAGCGUAACACUUGCUCUUCAUAA
rnacentral:lncRNA from 1 species